rnacentral:rRNA from 1 species
GACGAACGCUGGCGGCGUGCUUAACACAUGCAAGUCGAACGGAAAGGCCCUGCUUUUUUGGGGUGCUCGAGUGGCGAACGGGUGAGUAACACGUGAGUAACCUGCCCUUGACUUUGGGAUAACUUCAGGAAACUGGGGCUAAUACCGGAUAGCAGCUCCUGCUGCAUGGGGGGGGUUGGAAAGCUUCGGCGGUAUGGGAUGGACUUGCGGCUUAUCAGCUUGUUGGUGGGGGAGUGGCCUACCAAGGCUUUGACGGGUAGCCGGCCUGAGAGGGUGACCGGCCACAUUGGGACUGAGGUACGGCCCAGACGCCUAUGGUAGGCAGUAGUGGGGAAUCUUGCACAGUGGGCGGAAGCGUGAUGCAGCGACGCCGCGUGCGGGAUGACGGCCUUCGGGGUGUGAAGCGCUGUAGCCUGUGACGAAGCGGGAGUGACGGUACUGGGUAAAGAAGCACCGGCUAACUACGUG